rnacentral:misc_RNA from 1 species
GGUUGGAUCAUUAAAAAAUCCUUUUUUUGGUUCGCUUGAGGGGAAACCCUUGAAGAGGAAUCAGAAAAAAUAACCCUGUGUGCAAACACUGCUGUCUCUGGUGGUCGAAUUGAACUUGCCUAUUGUUCGAAAUUCUUGUUGCUUUGAAGUUAGUUGGAUGUUCCGACGCGUUCGUGCCCUCUGACCCGUACAUCACCUUUGUUGGUCCCUUUAUCAGGCUAACUUGUGAGGAGGUGUUUGGGAAGCGAUUGACCUGGUUGCAAUUCAUUGUCACUGGGUUGGUUGCAGGGAUAGGCGUUUUGUGUCGUUGUUUGGAGAUUGUUUCUGCAGUCUCCAAUCGGUUCAUUCUCUCGACCCUACUUUACCUUUGUUUCUCUUGAAAUAUUUAUGGUAUUUGGGUAGGAUGGUUAUGAGCUUCCCGGACGAUACCGGCAGUGGCAUUCAUUUCUGGCAACACUUUUCUUUUUUGAAUCGUGGUUAACGGAAACAGAUUCCGCCGCUGUUCUGUGAUGGAAGAUAUUCUGAUCUGUGAUUGGAAGAACUUCCAUCAUCGGAAAAUCUAUCAGACUUUGGCUGCGGUCGAGUUUUGGAUUGGGGUGGGUGUUAGUUUUGCCACCGAAAUGUUUUUAACCUUUGUUUUGGAAGUGUCCUCACGGAUGUUUUCAUUUUAUGAUUUAUUUUUUUUUCUUAAUCUGUUUUGCCUUUUUUUUGGUAAAAUUAGAAAUUACAAACAACUUUUGACAACGGAUCUCUUGGCUCUUGCAACGAUGAAGAACGCAGCGAAUUGCGAUAAGUAAUGUGAAUUGCAGAAUUCAGUGAAUCAUCAAAUCUUUGAACGCACAUUGCGCUUUCUGGUAUUCCGGAAAGCAUGCCUGUUUGAGAAUCGAUAAAUUCUCUCAUCUUUUCCUUUGGAGGUAGAUUGACUUGUCAGUUUGCUUUGAUGGGCUGGGAUGGAUUUGGGUCGUUUGCUGUGAACUGUCUCAGUUUCAAGGCAAUGAUCUUAAACAGAAUGUUUUUGAUGGCGACUGUUUGAAAGAACGAUCCCGUUGGAGUGUUUGAAGAAGGCUAGCAAUAGCCGGAAACUGUCUCUCCAAAUGCGGUGGUUGGUUCAUCGAAUGGUUAUUUAUCAUCGAAACUCAACCAAAUUUCAGGAAAAGGAACUGGUUUUUUGUUCGUUCGCGAAACCUUUACCGGUCAAGUGAGUGAUAAAUUGAUCUGUUUCUCUUUUUUGAACACUUGGUCUCAAAUCAGGUAGGAAAACCCGCUGAACUUAAGCAUAUCAAUAAGCGGAAGGAAAAGAAAACUAACAAGGAUUCCCCUAGUAACGGCGAGUGAAGCGGGAACAGCUCAAAUUUGAAAUCUUGCAGGUUUUGCCUGUACGAAUUGUAGUUUAGAGAAACGUUUUCGGGUCUGACUUGAACAUAAGUCCUUUGGAACGAGGCAUCAUAGAGGGUGAGAAUCCCGUUUUUGGUUCAAUGUUCAGUCCUAUGUGAUACGUUUUCCAAGAGUCGGUUUGUUUGGGAAUGCAGACCAAAAUGGGUAGUAAAUACCAUCUAAAGCUAAAUAUUGGCAAGAGACCGAUAGCGAACAAGUACCGUGAGGGAAAGAUGAAAAGAACUUUGAAAAGAGAGUUAAACAGUACGUGAAAUUGUCAAAAGGGAAACGCUUGAAACCAGUAUUGCUUUCAAUCAAUCAGCCAUUCAUUUUUUUGUGUGGUGCACUUGAUUGCUAGCAGGUCAACAUCAGUUUGAUUUGGGGUAAAAAGCUAGAGGAAGGUGAUCCGAAACUUCGGUUUUGGGUGUUAUAGCCUCUGGUCCUGCCUUGGAUUGGACUGAGGACUGCAGCAUUUUUUGGGUACCCAGUCGCCCUUCGAAACCUGUUUGCAGACAGCAUGCUGACUGUGAAGAGACGUAGGAGGCUCGGUUGUUUUUUCCACACCAAUGCUUAGGAUGUUGACGAAAUGGUUUUAAACGACCCGUCUUGAAACACGGACCAAGGAGUCUAACAUAUAUGCGAGUAUUUGGGUGGCAAACCCUUAUGCGAAAUGAAAGUGAACUUAGGUGGGAUCUUUAUGUGCACCAUCGACCGGUCUGGAUAUUUUUGAUGGAUCUGAGUAAGAGCAUAUCUGUUGGGACCCGAAAGAUGGUGAACUAUGCCUGAAUAGGGUGAAGCCAGAGGAAACUCUGGUGGAGGCUCGUAGCGAUUCUGACGUGCAAAUCGAUCGUCAAAUUUUGGUAUAGGGGCGAAAGACUAAUCGAACCAUCUAGUAGCUGGUUCCCUC